GACGAACGCUGGCGGCGUGCUUAACACAUGCAAGUCGAACGGAAAGGCCCUGCUUUUGUGGGGUGCUCGAGUGGCGAACGGGUGAGUAACACGUGAGUAACCUGCCCUUGACUUUGGGAUAACUUCAGGAAACUGGGGCUAAUACCGGAUAGGAGCUCCUGCUGCAUGGUGGGGGUUGGAAAGUUUCGGCGGUUGGGGAUGGGCUCGCGGCUUAUCAGCUUGUUGGUGGGGUAGUGGCUUACCAAGGCUUUGACGGGUAGCCGGCCUGAGAGGGUGACCGGCCACAUUGGGACUGAGAUACGGCCCAGACUCCUACGGGAGGCAGCAGUGGGGAAUAUUGCACAAUGGGCGGAAGCCUGAUGCAGCAACGCCGCGUGCGGGAUGAAGGCCUUCGGGUUGUAAACCGCUUUCGCCUGUGACGAAGCGUGAGUGACGGUAAUGGGUAAAGAAGCACCGGCUAACUACGUG
rnacentral:rRNA from 1 species